CGGGGCGGGAGCUGCUGCUGCGCGGCUUGGGCCGCGGGAUGGGCCGCGCGGCCUGCUGGCUGGCGCGAGGGGAAAGGAGAGAGAGGGGGGGAAAGCCGGCCCAGGGCGUUUGCCUCGCUUCUUUUUUUUCUUUUUUUUUUAAAAAUAGUUUUCUCCUAUUUAAUUAUUUCUCCAACAAAAACUACAAGCAUCAGCACACAAAUCAAACAAAAAUAAAUGCAGCGGCAUGAAUGCAUAUGAGCAAGGUUUCUACCUUAUAUUUAAUUUUAUUUAAUUUUGUAAAUUAUUUAAUAUUUCUCAAAAAUUCAAAUUGAGCCAAAAUAAAAUUAAAUUCAAACUAAAUUUAAAAUUCAAAAAUUUGGAGUGUUAUAGACGACGAACUCGUGAGCCAAGGCCGGAGGGUUUUGUUCUUUUCUUCUCCCAGUCGGGUAGUGCUCCCUCUACUGCUCUGACGCCGCCUGCCUAGUGGCACAACCGGCUCCGCCCCCAAAAGAGACCUAGCGGCAUCUCUUCCUGAUUUUAGGUAUGGCAUGGAUUCUUCCUCCUCUCAUUGCUCUGCUCAUCUCAGCAACAAACAAGUGCCCUGGCAUUGUGAAAUCCCCCAUCUUUUUUUUUGUUAUUUAGCCAGCCCUCGAUUGUGUGUGUUAUGUGAAAUCCCCCAUACUUUUUUUGUUAUUUAGCCAGCCCUCGGUUGUGCGUUAUGAUAGAUCGAAUAGGCUCGAUUUUGUCUGUGCUGCUCAUACAGGAGUCCUAUUUGUUUACUCACCUAACCGUUGUUAACAAGGAAGUAAUAUCUUUGACGACAUAUGGCGUAAAUAAGAUUGAGUCGGUGAGAUGAGUCUUAGGUUAAGAGGAGUCUUAUAUCUUAUAUGUAUAAGAUCUUAGAUAAUGGAGGGCUCAUAUAGCACGUCGCUUAGAUGGAACGGUCAUUAUGUAAUAAGGAAGAGCCUUCUUUGAAAAACUCGCUCUUUUAUAGUGUGAUGAUGAUGAUGAUACUGUAUGUACAAGUUCUAAAUCUAAACCCGAGCUGACGAUAUCUAAAUCUAAUCUAUACCAAUACGCGUUA
rnacentral:lncRNA from 1 species